rnacentral:rRNA from 1 species
UACAUGGGGUGCAAACGUUGCUCGGAAUUAUUGGGCGUAAAGCGCACGUAGGCGGUUCGUUAAGUCGGAUGUGAAAGCCCUCGGCUCAACUGAGGAAGUGCACCCGAAACUGGCGAGCUUGAGUACGAAAGAGGAUCGCGGAAUUCCCGGUGUAGAGGUGAAAUUCGUAGAUAUCGGGAGGAACACCGGUGGCGAAGGCGGCCUGCUGGGCUAUGGCUGACACUGAGGCGCGACAGCGUGGGGAGCAAACAGG